UCCAUCAUGAGUCCCACACCUUGGCCAACUAUGGUAAGGGUUGGAUCAGACCUUUAGAGCCAAGAUCAAUCAUAGCAAUGCCCUGCACGACAUCAAUUGAUUCCUACUUCAUUUGGAUGGUUGUUGGUUGAUUUUGGAUGCUCACAAGGUUAUUUUAUAGGCUAAAAAAGGAUACUUAGAUCAAGUGGGAGAAGAGGCAAGCAUGUUUCAUAAAUUAGAAUGGUAUUUUUUUUGGAAAUCUUAAGGUUUAUUAGAAAGGAAAGAAGGCCGCUAUGAUAAUUUAUUAGAAAGAAAAGAAGGCCUCUACGAUAAUCUUGUACUGCUCAAGGGUUAUUCAAAAUAAAUACUAUCAGUCAAUAUACCUUUUCUAACUAGAAUAAGAAAUAUAUUAGACUUUUAAAUUUUUUUAUUUUUUGAGCUGAUUUUGUGGUCAUGAUUAGUAGUUAGUUUAGGGAGUCUUUAGUUCAUGUGAGUCCCAAAAUUCAUCUAGCAUGGUUAGACAAGUUAUUUUACAAUUGUGAUUCACGUUGAGAGUACUAGAACCUUCUUUUGGUAGCUUUUUGUGGGGUGACAACAUUAACAUAGAUAUUAGAGCAUGUGUCUUCCACAACUUUUCUUCUUAUUAUUAUUCUAAGAUCGGGGUUUUCUUAUAUAGGAUCAGCUUGUGCCUAUUUCAUUAUUUAUGUUUGGAUGACCACAUCAACAACACACUUUUUUUUGACUUGUAGGUUCUGCUAAAAUCUUUGAUUUCAGCUUUAUAUUCACCGCUCUACUCUCAACUGUAGCUUUUGGCCUUUUGCAUCCUCUAUAUGAACUUUUGCUGAAUUUCUUUGUGAAUCUUUAAUUGAUGAUUUAAAAAAAAAAAAUCAGUUAUUUAGAACAUAUAUGUGAACCUUAACUGCUACAAACUCAUUAGUAAUUGUCUUUAUACAUCAAGAGCUAUCAAGUUUCAUGAUUCUAGACCUGCCUCUGGUUGUUUAGAUUGCUAAAGGUGGCACUACAUUGGAGUUCAAUUAAGGUGGACCAAUCAGUUUAAGCUCCUUUCAAGUUAGAUCGUCGACCGAUGCGUGGAAGCUGGAACCAAGCAUACUGCCAA